UGGGGAAUAUUGGGCAAUGGGGGGAACCCUGACCCAGCGACGCCGCGUGGGUGAAGAAAUCCUUCGGGAUGUAAAGCCCUGUUGUAUGGGAAGAGCGGAAGACGGUACCAUACGAGGAAGCCCCGGCAAACUACGUGCCAGCAGCCGCGGUAAUACGUAGGGGGCAAGCGUUGUCCGGAAUUACUGGGCGUAAAGCGCACGCAGGCUGAAUGGUAAGUCGGAAGUAAAAGGCGGGGGCUCAACUUCCGUAU
rnacentral:rRNA from 1 species